rnacentral:rRNA from 1 species
UUGAACGCUGGCGGCAUGCUUUACACAUGCAAGUCGAACGGCAGCGCGGGCUUCGGCCUGGCGGCGAGUGGCGAACGGGUGAGUAAUGCAUCGGAACGUGCCCAGUAGUGGGGGAUAGCCCGGCGAAAGCCGGAUUAAUACCGCAUACGACCUGAGGGUGAAAGCGGGGGACCGAAAGGCCUCGCGCUAUUGGAGCGGCCGAUGUCGGAUUAGCUAGUUGGUGGGGUAAAGGCUUACCAAGGCGACGAUCCGUAGCUGGUCUGAGAGGACGACCAGCCACACUGGGACUAAGACACGGCCCAGACUCCUACGGGAGGCAGCAGUGGGGAAUUUUGGACAAUGGGGGCAACCCUGAUCCAGCCAUGCCGCGUGCGGGAAGAAGGCCUUCGGGUUGUAAACCGCUUUUGUUCGGGAAGAAAUCCUCUGGGCUAAUACCCCGGGGGGAUGACGGUACCGGAAGAAUAAGCACCGGCUAACUACGUG